UUCCCCAUCUAUUUGCCAUGAAGUGAUGGGACUGGAUGCCAUGAUUAGUUUUUUGAAUGUUGAGUUUUAACCCAGCUUUUUCACUCUCCUCUUUCACCUUCAUCAAGAGGCUCUUUUGUUCCUCUUCUCUUUAUGCUUAAUGGUGGCCUUUCUUUUUAACUUGUUAAUCUGUCCAGUAGUAAUGGAUGUGGGAUUGAUUUCCAACAUGUAUCUUGGAGAGACUAACAUAGAACAAAGAGUGCUGAGAUGAGAUCAAGAAAGAAGGGAUAUUGCUGUCAAGACUAGGGCAUAAAGUGGAGAAGUUGUUGUAAGAACCUUAGGUGUUUCAGGUCUUAUACAUUUCAAAUUUGAGAUUUAAUGUAAAAAGCGAAAGAAAUGGAAGAGGGUCAUUUGGUUUUCUGAAACUCAGAAUGCUAAUUAAAAUGAUUAGAGAGAGGGAAAACAGCAGUAAAAACUAACAUUUAUUGAUGGUGGUUUAUGAUAUGCUUCACAAAGCAUUCAACAUGUUAUUAACUCAUUUGAUCCUCUCAACAUAUGUAUGAAAUGAUCACUGCUUUGUAAAUGAGACACUGAGUUUUGGAGUGGUGAAGUGAGCUGAAAAACCUCACAGGAUUGGUGAAGCCAGAAUGAAGCCCAUUUCUAUCCGGUCUUAAUGUUUUACCCACUGACCACCACUGUGACUGUCAGAGUGAGUCAAACCUGCAGGUUUAGAAUCAGCCCUGUGCCUGCACCUGCUCUAAGUCUUCACCUUGAGAUCAUGGGUCCUAAUCCUAAUGUUCCCACAGGAUAAUGCGCACUCAUUAAUAAUGAAAGAGCUUGGCCUCUGAGUUUGCUGGUCAUUUCUAGUUGUGGAAUUUUAGCAAGAUGCUUCAUCUUCAUCUCUCAAAUGGGAGAACAUAAUAUGAAGAUUAUCUAAAAUGAAUGCAGAACUUCAUGGUGUCUUGUACUUGAUUCAUGUUUAUAAAAUAGAAUAAUAUGUAUUUAACACAAUAUUUGGGUCCCAGAAGGUAUUCAGCGAAUGGUUAUCUAUAGAUUUAAUAUUGUGAUCCUUAGCUUCCGACUUCUGGAAAAAUUCAUGGGCAUCUGCAGCAACAUACCUACUUCUACCCAAAAAGACAAGCCACCUGUCCUUACUAAGUACCAUUCCAAGACAAGUUCUUGUAUGCAACAGUGCUAUAAUAAAGCUUCUUCAUAUAACAUCUUUAUUAAAUAAAAGCUGUAUGCCCUUAGGGAGAGAGUGGUGCAAAGUGUAUAAUCUUCCACUUUGCAUAUUGAAAUUCAGCUAUCAGACCUUGCAAACAAAAUUCAGAGACAUCUUAAAAUGGAGGAUGACCUUAAUAUUUUCCUAAAAUAAAUGAUUAAUGUAGGGACCAUUAAUUUCACCCAUAGUCUAUUCCCCAAACAGCUUCAUCCAUCCUGAAAAAGGCCUUUCACUUUCAAGGAUAAAUGAUACAAAUUUUUAAGAGAAUUAUGAGCAAUCAGGUAGGUAAUUUAUGUUUGUUAUGUAUAAUAAAAUACAUAAUUAAACAUCACCCCAUAAUUAAUCAAGGCAUUAAAACCUAGAAAUGGUAGAAGCUACUGUCUAGGCUCAUCCUGAGUCAGGGAGAUUAUUUAUAAAUAGUUGCAUAGUCUUAAGACAGUUUUAUUCCUGUUUCAUUUUCUCCAAGUGUCAUUGAAUAGGUCAGUCUUGAUUAUAUACUGCAUUUGGAAAUGUCCUUUAAGCUGAGCCAGCCAAGGCGACUCUCCUAAGCUUUUCAGAUUAAAUCUUGGGAGUCAAAAUUUGAGUCCAUAUAUAAUGCUGAUGCAUUUCAAAAUAAAUCAAAUAGAAUGGCUUUUAUCAUACAUAUCAGUCAGUCAGUCCAAAUCUGUGCCUCAAUUUGUUCAUCAGAACCCUAUAGAGGAUAAAAUAGGGAAUAAGUCAUUUCUUUUUGGGAUUGUGCAGCAAUGGUCAAAAUAGAAAUUUCAGAUUCACCUACCUGCCUUACAGAAUUUUGUCAGUUGAGAUGAGCAAAUAGUUAAAACAAGCUGCACUGAAUACUUUAUUAAUGAUGAUGAUCACAAUAAAAUAAUGAGUAAAUGUUUCCCAGGUCUUAUGUGAAGCACUUUGGAUCCAUCCGCCUGUAUAAUCCUCACCAGAGUCCUGAGUGCCCCAUUUGAGAGCUGAUGAUAGCAGGUAUUGAUGGAGUGUGUUCAGAAAACCUGUGAAUGAACCCUGCAGGGAGUCUACCAAGUGUGAAGGCUUCUCAAAACACAAACCUGAGAACAAUGGAUUGCGCUUGACCAUGUCUAUCGCAUAUUCUUAUGAAGGCUUCAUGUGUCUUGGGGCCUGUAUUUCCUUUGCAUUUCCUAGCUCUAAAGAUUUGGGUCGUUGGGAGUUCAAAACUAAAUCAAGGAGUUUGCUGCUGCUGCUAAGUGGCUUCAGUCGUGUCCGACUCUGUGCGACCCCAUAGACGGCAGCCCACUAGGCCCCGCCGUCCCUGGGAUUCUCCAGGCAAGAACACUGGAGUGGGUUGCCAUU